AUACGUAGGUGGCAAGCGUUAUCCGGAAUUAUUGGGCGUAAAGAGUGAGCAGGCGGUUAAUUAAGUCUGAGGUUAAAGCGUGGGGCUCAAACCCAUAAAGCCUUGGAAACUGAUUGACUAGAGUACGGGAGAAGUGCAGGGAACUCCAUGUGUAGCGGUGAAAUGCGUAGAUAUAUGGAAGAACACCAGUGGCGAAGGCGCUUCACUAGCCCGAAACUGGCGCUCAGUCACGAAAGCGUGGGUAGCAAAUAGGAUUAGAUACCCUAGUAGUCCACGCUGUAAACGAUGACAACUAAAUAUUGCCGCGAGGCAGUGUUGAAGCUAACGCAUUAAGUUGUCCGCCUGGGGAGUACGGUCGCAAGAUUGAAACUUAAAGGAAUCGACGGGG
rnacentral:rRNA from 1 species